rnacentral:rRNA from 1 species
UAGGGAAUCUUGCGCAAUGGGCGAAAGCCUGACGCAGCCAUGCCGCGUGAAUGAUGAAGGUCUUAGGAUUGUAAAAUUCUUUCACCGGGGAAGAUAAUGACGGUACCCGGAGAAGAAGCCCCGGCUAACUUCGUGCCAGCAGCCGCGGUAAUACGAAGGGGGCUAGCGUUGCUCGGAAUUACUGGGCGUAAAGGGCGCGUAGGCGGACAGUUUAGUCAGAGGUAAAAGCCCAGGGCUCAACCUUGGAACUGCCUUUGAAACUGUCGGGCUUGAGGCCGGGAGGGGGUAGCGGAAUUCCCAGUGUAGCGGUGAAAUGCGUAGAUAUUGGGAGGAACACCGGUGGCGAAGGCGGCUACCUGGACCGGUUCUGACGCUGAUGCGCGAAAGCGUGGGUAGCAAA